rnacentral:rRNA from 1 species
UACGUAGGGUGCGAGCGUUAAUCGGAAUUACUGGGCGUAAAGCGCACGUAGGCGGCUUGGUAUGUCGGGUGUGAAAUCCCCGGGCUCAACCUGGGAACUGCAUCCGAAACUGCCUUGCUCGAGUAUGGGAGAGGGAUGUAGAAUUCCAGGUGUAGCGGUGAAAUGCGUAGAUAUCUGGAGGAACAUCGGUGGCGAAGGCGGCAUCCUGGACCGGUAUUGACGCUGAGGCGCGAAAGCGUGGGGAGCGAACAGG